CAGGCCUAACACAUGCAAGUCGAACGCCCCGCAAGGGGCCCGGCAGACGGGUGAGUAACACGUGGGAACGUACCCUUUGGUUCGGAACAACCCUGGGAAACUAGGGCUAAUACCGGAUACGCGCGAGAGCGGAAAGGUUUACCGCCGAAGGAUCGGCCCGCGUCUGAUUAGCUAGUUGGUGAGGUAACGGCUCACCAAGGCGACGAUCAGUAGCUGGUCUGAGAGGAUGAUCAGCCACAUUGGGACUGAGACACGGCCCAAACUCCUACGGGAGGCAGCAGUGGGGAAUAUUGUAUUAUGGGCGCAAGCCUGAUCCAGCCAUGCCGCCUGAGUGAUGACGGCCCUAGGGUUGUAAACCUCUUUUACCUGGGAAGAUAAUGACGGUACCAGGAGAAUAGGCCCCGGCUAUCUUCGUGCCAGCCGCCGGGGUAAG
rnacentral:rRNA from 1 species